AAAGGCUAAUCAAGCUCAGAGAUAUCUGGUUCUCUCCGAAAUAUAUUUAGGUAUAGCCUCGGAUAAAUUCCGUUGCGGCCGUAGAGCACUGUUUGGUCUAGGGGCCCUACCAGGUUACCGAAAUCAGGCAAACUCCGAAGACCGUCACGGUUACUCCGGGAGUCAGUUGCUGGGGGAUAAACUUCAGCGUCAAGAGGGAAACAGCCCAGACCGACAGCUAAGGUCCCUAAGUUCUAGCUAAGUGGCAAACGAUGUCCGAGUGCAUAGACAACCAGGAGGUUGGCUUAGAGGCAGCCAUCCUUGAAAGAGUGCGUAACAGCUCACUGGUCAAGUGUUCGGGCGCGGAUAAUGUAACGGGGCUCAAGCUAGACACCGAAGCUUCGGGUUCAAUCUUUUGAUUGAGCGGUAGGAGAGCGUUCCCAUGGCAGUGAAGCGGCGGGGGAACCCAGCCGUGGAGCCAUGGGAAGUGAGAAUGCCGGCAUGAGUAACGAAAGAGGGGUGAGAAUCCCCUCCGCCGAUUGCCCAAGGAUUCCUGAGUAAAGUUCGUCUGCUCAGGGUUAGUCGGGACCUAAGGCGAGGCCGAAAGGCGUAGUCGAUGGACAACAGGUUGAUAUUCCUGUACCACGUCGCACUCAUUUGACUGAUGGGGGGACGGGGAAGGCUAGGGGAACCCAGGCGAUGGUAGUCCUGGGUCAAGCAUGUAGGGGUGGCCGAUGAUAAAUGCGCGGCUGCAUAACCUGAGGUGCGAUGACAGCUGGCUUAAAGCCGGCGAGUCCCUGACGCCAUGCCUCCGAGAAAAGCCUCUAGGGAGAGCGCGCGUGCCCGUACCAAAACCGACACAGGUGGGCAAGUAGAGAAUACUAAGGUGAUCGAGAUAACCAUCGUUAAGGAACUCGGCAAAAUCGCUCCGUAACUUCGGGAUAAGGAGCGCCCUAGUAGGGUGAAGCGCUUUUCGCGUGGAGUCUGAGGGGGCCGCAGUGAAUAGGUUCAACCGACUGUUUACCAAAAACACAGGGCUCUGCUAAGUCGUAAGACGACGUAUAGGGUCUGACGCCUGCCCGGUGCCGGAAGGUUACGUGGAGGUGUUAGCUGCAAGGCGAAGCACUGAAACUAAGCCCCGGUAAACGGCGGCGGUAACAAUAACCGUCCUAAGGUAGCGAAAUUCCUUGUCGGGUAAGUUCCGACCUGCACGAAUGGCGUAACGAGUUGAACGCUGUCUCAACGAUGGGCUCGGUGAAAUUGCAGUCUCGGUGAAGAUGCCGAGUACCCGUGGCUAGACGGAAAGACCCCGUGCACCUUUACUAUAACCUGGUAUUGGAGUGCGGUGCAUCUCGCUCAGGAUAGGAGGUAGUCUUUGAAGCAUCGGCUGCGGCUGGUGUGGAGACACACUUGAGAUACCUCCCUUGAUGUAUUGUGCUUCUAACACUGCGCCCUUAUCGGGGCAGUGAACAGUGCCAGGCGGGUAGUUUGACUGGGGCGGUCGCCUCCCAAAAUGUAACGGAGGCGCGCAAAGGUUCCCUCAGUACGGUC
rnacentral:rRNA from 1 species